rnacentral:rRNA from 1 species
UAGGGAAUCUUCGGCAAUGGACGAAAGUCUGACCGAGCAACGCCGCGUGAGUGAAGAAGGUUUUCGGAUCGUAAAACUCUGUUGUUAGAGAAGAACAAGGACGUUAGUAACUGAACGUCCCCUGACGGUAUCUAACCAGAAAGCCACGGCUAACUACGUGCCAGCAGCCGCGGUAAUACGUAGGUGGCAAGCGUUGUCCGGAUUUAUUGGGCGUAAAGCGAGCGCAGGCGGUUUCUUAAGUCUGAUGUGAAAGCCCCCGGCUCAACCGGGGAGGGUCAUUGGAAACUGGGGGACUUGAGUGCAGAAGAGGAGAGGGGAAUUCCAUGUGUAGCGGUGAAAUGCGUAGAUAUAUGGAGGAACACCAGUGGCGAAGGCGGCUCUCUGGUCUGUAACUGACGCUGGGGCUCGAAAGCGUGGGGAGCAAACAGG